GCGGAGGAAAAGAAACCAACCGGGAUUGCCUUAGUAACGGCGAGUGAAGCGGCAAAAGCUCAAAUUUGAAAUCUGGCGUCUUCGACGUCCGAGUUGUAAUUUGAAGAAGGCAACUUUGUAGCUGGUCCUUGUCUAUGUUCCUUGGAACAGGACGUCAUAGAGGGUGAGAAUCCCGUGUGGCGAGGAUCCCAGUUAUUUGUAAAGUGCUUUCGACGAGUCGAGUUGUUUGGGAAUGCAGCUCUAAGUGGGUGGUAAAUUCCAUCUAAAGCUAAAUAUUGGCGAGAGACCGAUAGCGAACAAGUACAGUGAUGGAAAGAUGAAAAGAACUUUGAAAAGAGAGUGAAAAAGUACGUGAAAUUGUUGAAAGGGAAGGGCAUUUGAUCAGACAUGGCGUUUGCUUCGGCUUUCGCUGGGCCAGCAUCAGUUUUAGCGGUUGGAUAAAUCCUCGGGAAUGUGGCUCUGCUUCGGUAGAGUGUUAUAGCCCGUGGGAAUACAGCCAGCUGGGACUGAGGAUUGCGACUUUUGUCAAGGAUGCUGGCGUAAUGGUUAAAUGCCGCCCGUCUUGA
rnacentral:rRNA from 1 species